rnacentral:rRNA from 1 species
CCUACGGGUGGCAGCAGUGAGGAAUAUUGGGCAAUGGGCGAGAGCCUGAACCAGCCAAGUCGCGUGAAGGAUGACGGCUCUACGGGUUGUAAACUUCUUUUGUCAGGGAGCAAUUGAGUCCACGUGUGGUCUUAGCGAGAGUACCUGAAGAAAAAGCAUCGGCUAACUUCGUGCCAGCAGCCGCGGUAAUACGGAGGAUGCGAGCGUAAUCCGGAUUUAUUGGGUUUAAAGGGUGCGUAGGCGGAAUAUCAAGUCAGCGGGAAAAAGUCGGGGCUCAACCCCGUCGUGCCGUUGAAACUGAUGUUCUUGAGUGGGCGAGAGGUGUGCGGAAUGCGUGGUGUAGCGGUGAAAUGCAUAGAGAUCACGCAGAACUCCAAUUGCGAAGGCAGCAUACCGGCGCCCAACUGACGCUGAAGCACGAAAGCGUGGGUAUCGAACAGGAUUAGAUACCCCAGUAGUC